GCGCGACACAGCCGAAAGAUCAGCGAGGAAAGUUUCCUCGUGCGUCACUUAGGUCCGGUUCGCGUCGACUGCCGGAUAAAUACCGUGUUCUUUUCUCGAUUUGACGUCCACCUUGAGCCAGGCCAGCCGACAAACGAUCCACCUUUCAGACACUUCGAUAUAAGUAAAUAUUUUUAAUUCCAGCGUGACUAAGGCCGACCAGGCGACCAUUCCGGAUUCCAACGUUUGUCAGAGGAAAUUCUCUUUUUCCCAGGGGAACCUGCGAGGCAUGGCUAGGUUACGCCAAUGGAGUCAUCGAGGGGAAUUCAGGUGCACCACGGUCAAGGUAACAGGGCUGUUUGGGACCCGUCGUCUUUUCUCGCCUUCUUUUUCGUGUAAAGGGAUAACUUGUUCCUCGCCUGGCCACGGCUGUUCAAGCCGGGUGAAAGUUUAACUUGGCUACGAGGAACGGGCCGGCCGGUCUCCGGAGUUUGCCGAGUUUGAUGGUGUUUUGAUGGCGUUGGACGUAAAGAGGAUACGAUGGACCGCGAGCUGGUUAAGCGACUAAGGGAAUCGGAGAAGGGUUCUGGAAUUUUCUGGUCUGGUUCCGAUGAUUUUAUGAAAAUAUCACGACAGCAGUGAGACAGUUGUAUUAUCGAAGGUUUUGUACUUAACGAGCUGUACAAGAAAAAAAGCAAAGAAUUAUAUAAAUCUGUAACGACCGAACGAUCCACUAUUUGAUUAAUGGAUAAGUAAUUAUAUUUUAAAACCAUAUAAUUACAUCGUUGUCAAGAAACUUUGUUUCUUGCGUGUUUAUCGUUGGCUAGUCUGGCUAAACAAUUUUCAUCUCUGUUCCGUUUACCAUCUUAAACUUGUAUUCUCCUUUAUUUUCUUGCUCGUCCGCUAUUUGUCUAACAAUUAUCUUAUGAAGAUAAUAUCUGUGGUUACUUGCGUUUUUCACCUUUGCUAAUUGGGAUAAUUUAAAGUUAAGCGUAGCAUAAGUAAUUGUUGAGAUUGUUAUCUAAUAUUUCAUGUAAGUUGUAAGUUGUAUAGUAUUUUAAAAACGGUUACCGUAUUAUUAACAAUCUUUUUAAUAUUUAAAUACAAAUUUAGAAAUUUCUGAUCGAUCCGAUAAAGAUUGACAAUUUACUUUCAACG